rnacentral:rRNA from 1 species
UUUUAUAAUUAAAGUCACAACGGUGAAAGAUGAGCAUGCGUCCCAUUAGCUAGUUGGUAUGGUAACGGCAUACCCAAGGCUACGAUGGGUAGGGGUCCUGAGAGGGAGAUCCCCCACACUGGUACUGAGACACGGACCAGACUCNUACGGGAGGCAGCAGUGAGGAAUAUUGGACAAUGGGCGCAAGCCUGAUCCAGCCAUGCCGCGUGCAGGAUGACGGUCCUAUGGAUUGUAAACUGCUUUUGCACAGGAAGAAACAACAUUACGUGUAAUGUCUUGACGGUACUGUGAGAAUAAGGAUCGGCUAACUCCGUGCCAGCAGCCGCGGUAAUACGGAGGAUCCAAGCGUUAUCCGGAAUCAUUGGGUUUAAAGGGUCCGUAGGCGGUCUUAUAAGUCAGUGGUGAAAUCUCCCCGCUCAACGGGGAAACGGCCAUUGAUACUGUAGGACUUGAAUUAUUAGGAAGUAACUAGAAUAUGUAGUGUAGCGGUGAAAUGCUUAGAGAUUACAUGGAAUACCAAUUGCGAAGGCAGGUUACUACUAAUGGAUUGACGCUGAUGGACGAAAGCGUGGGUAGCGAACAGGAUUAGAUACCCUGGUAGUCCACGCCGUAAACGAUGGAUACUAGCUGUUGGGCGCAAGUUCAGUGGCUAAGCGAAAGUGAUAAG